CACACUUUCAUAACCUCUGCUACCUCUCACGACUCUCGACCUCUGCUACUUCUCUCAAAGCUUGCGUUACCUCCUGCCUCCGUCGUCCUUGCCGCCACCGCCUCCGUCCCUUCCGCCGCCGCCGGCGCCUCCGCCUCCGUCCCUGCCGCGCCGGUGCCGCUCUUGUUUUGGGUCGCUUCGUGCACGGUUAGUUGCCCUGUUCUCAUUAACAACGUUCUAUUGUUCCUCUCCUCAAGCAAUUUUCCCCUUCCUCAUAAGGCUUUGUGAUAGCUAAUAUUUCAGAUUGGAUGACAAAGAAGUUGGGAUUAUAACAUAUGGUUUUCUAGAUUAAUUUGUUUGGUAGAUUGGGAUAAUAUGGAUCGAAAAUGGAUGUUUGCGAACCGUUUGUCGAAUGAGUACGAGGGUGGUAUUGAUGCUUUUUCAGUCUGAAGGUUCAUCGGUCAACUUCUGGUAUGAGUGUACCCAAAGCAAAGCAAAAUUAUAUUCCGUGGGAUAUCAUUGAGAUAUUAUGUGAUGAAGUUCAUGAAAGAUAUCAUCACUCACCAAGAACUUGUGAUCCCAACGAAAUAUUUUGAAGAUUGUCAGUUCGUUUCCUACAAUGAAGAGCAAUUGCGUGAAGUUAAAGAUGAGUGGGCCGCUUAUGUUUUUUACAAUUGUUUUUAGUAUUUAAUCUAUUGGAUAAUUAUCUAUGAGAUGGUGGUAGAUGAAGUUAAGGACGUGGUUGAGAUAUUAUGCACUUUAGAAAUUGCUUCGAAUUUAUGAAGCUUUUGAUAUUUAGAUAUAUUGGUUUUGAUAUGCUGAAGUUCAGAAAAUGUUUACUUUA